UACGAAGGGGGCUAGCGUUGCUCGGAAUUACUGGGCGUAAAGCGCACGUAGGCGGUCUUUUAAGUCGGGGGUGAAAUCCUGGAGCUCAACUCCAGAACUGCCUUUGAUACUGAGAAGCUUGAGUCCGGGAGAGGUGAGUGGAACUGCGAGUGUAGAGGUGAAAUUCGUAGAUAUUCGCAAGAACACCAGUGGCGAAGGCGGCUCACUGGCCCGGUACUGACGCUGAGGUGCGAAAGCGUGGGGAGCAAACAGG
rnacentral:rRNA from 1 species